rnacentral:snRNA from 1 species
GUGCUCACCUGGGCAGCACAUAUGCUAAAAUUGGAACGGUACAGAAAAGAUUAGCAUGGCCUCUGUGCAAGGAUCACACACAAAUUUGUGAAGCAUUCCAUUUAAAA